GGCGAACGGGUGAGUAACGCGUGAGGAACCUGCCUCAAAGAGGGGGACAACAGUUGGAAACGACUGCUAAUACCGCAUAAGCCCACGGGUCGGCAUCGACCAGAGGGAAAAGGAGCAAUCCGCUUUGAGAUGGUCUCGCGUCCGAUUAGCUAGUUGGUGAGGUAAUGGCCCACCAAGGCGACGAUCGGUAGCCGGACUGAGAGGUUGAACGGCCACAUUGGGACUGAGACACGGCCCAGACUCCUACGGGAGGCAGCAUG
rnacentral:rRNA from 1 species